rnacentral:ncRNA from 2 species
UAAAAGUUUAGUCCUGGCUUUACUGUCAGCUUUAGCCGAAACUACACAUGCAAGUAUCCGCACCCCUGUGAGAAUGCCCUUGAACCCCCCGCCACGGGGACAAGGAACCGGUAUCAGGCACAACCCCCGUUUAGCCCAAGACACCUUGCUUUAUGCCACACCCUAUUAAUGGAGCCCAGCAGUGAUAGACAUUAAGCCAUAAGUGAAAACUUGACUUAGUCUUAAGGCUAAUAAGGGCCGGUAAAACUCGUGCCAGCCACCGCGGUUAUACGAGUCAGGCCCAAGUUGACAAACACGGCGUAAAGAGUGUUUAAGGUAACCAAAGAAGUAAAGCCGAACGCCCCUCAAAGCUGUCAUACGCAUCCGAGGGUGACGAAGCCCAAUCACGAAAGUGGCUUUAUAUUCCUGACCCCACGAAAGCCAUGAAACAAAAUGGGAUUAGAUACCCCACUAUGCUUGGCCCUAAAAAUUGAUAGCACACUACACCCGCUAUCCGCCUGGGAAUUACGUGCAACCUGCCUAAAACCCAAAGGACUUGGCGGUGCUUUAGACCCCCCUAGAGGAGCCUGUCCUAUAAUCGAUGACCCCCGUUUAACCUCACCCUUCCUUGUUUUUCCCGCCUAUAUACCGCCGUCGCCAGCUUACCCUGUGAAGGACUAAUAGUGAGCAGAAUUGGCACAGCCCAAAACGUCAGGUCAAGGUGUAGCGCAUGGAAGGGGAAGAGAUGGGCUACAUUCUCUAAUGCAGAGAAUACGGACGAUCGCACUGAAAUGUGCAUACUAAAGGAGGAUUUAGCAGUAAGCAGGGAAGCAGAGUGUCCCGCUGAAGCCGGCCCUGAAGCACGUACACACCGCCCGUCACUCUCCCCAAACGACCCUAAUUUAAAUAACUAAUUCAACUACCACCACGAACAGGGGAGGCAAGUCGUAACAUGGUAAGUGUACCGGAAGGUGUACUUGGAUCAAAU